rnacentral:rRNA from 1 species
GAACGAGAAAGUGGAGCAAUCCAUGAGUAAAGUGGCGACCGGGUGAGUAACACGUGACUGACCUACCUCCGAGUGGGGAAUAACUCCGGGAAACCGGGGCUAAUACCGCAUAACAUCGCAAGAUCAAAGCAGCAAUGCGCUUGGAGAGGGGGUCGCGGCUGAUUAGCUAGUUGGCGGGGUAACGGCCCACCAAGGCUAUGAUCGGUAUCCGGCCUGAGAGGGCGCACGGACACACUGGAACUGAAACACGGUCCAGACUCCUACGGGAGGCAGCAGUGGGGAAUUUUGCGCAAUGGGGGAAACCCUGACGCAGCAACGCCGCGUGGAGGAUGAAGUCCCUUGGGACGUAAACUCCUUUCGACUGGGAAGAUAAUGACGGUACCAGUGGAAGAAGCCCCGGCUAACUUCGUG